AUUGAACGCUGGCGGCAGGCCUAACACAUGCAAGUCGAGCGGAUGAAGGGAGCUUGCUCCUGGAUUCAGCGGCGGACGGGUGAGUAAUGCCUAGGAAUCUGCCUGGUAGUGGGGGAUAACGUCCGGAAACGGGCGCUAAUACCGCAUACGUCCUGAGGGAGAAAGUGGGGGAUCUUCGGACCUCACGCUAUCAGAUGAGCCUAGGUCGGAUUGGCUAGUUGGUGGGGUAAGGGCCUACCAAGGCGACGAUCCGUAACUGGUCUGAGAGGAUGAUCAGUCACACUGGAACUGAGACACGGUCCAGACUCCUACGGGAGGCAGCAGUGGGGAAUAUUGGACAAUGGGCGAAAGCCUGAUCCAGCCAUGCCGCGUGUGUGAAGAAGGUCUUCGGAUUGUAAAGCACUUUAAGUUGGGAGGAAGGGCAGUAAGUUAAUACCUUGCUGUUUUGACGUUACCAACAGAAUAAGCACCGGCUAACUUCGUG
rnacentral:rRNA from 1 species